rnacentral:rRNA from 1 species
UACGAAGGGGGCUAGCGUUGCUCGGAAUUACUGGGCGUAAAGGGCGCGUAGGCGGAUAGUUUAGUCAGAGGUGAAAGCCCAGGGCUCAACCUUGGAAUUGCCUUUGAUACUGGCUAUCUUGAGUUCGGGAGAGGUGAGUGGAAUGCCGAGUGUAGAGGUGAAAUUCGUAGAUAUUCGGCGGAACACCAGUGGCGAAGGCGACUCACUGGCCCGAUACUGACGCUGAGGCGCGAAAGCGUGGGGAGCAAACCGG